rnacentral:rRNA from 1 species
UGGCGGACGGGUGAGUAAUGUCUGGGAAACUGCCUGAUGGAGGGGGAUAACUACUGGAAACGGUAGCUAAUACCGCAUAACGUCGCAAGACCAAAGAGGGGGACCUUAGGGCCUCUUGCCAUCGGAUGUGCCCAGAUGGGAUUAGCUAGUAGGUGGGGUAACGGCUCACCUAGGCGACGAUCCCUAGCUGGUCUGAGAGGAUGACCAGCCACACUGGAACUGAGACACGGUCCGG